GAUGGUUGGAGUUUUGAUUAAUCUAAAGUACCAUGCAAGAGCACUCAUUUUCCCUCUUGAGACCAUGGUGUGACCUGCAAGGUCGAAUGGAGACUGUAAACGAGACAAUCUUGGAGUCACCUGCAUUCACUGGUCCAGUUGUUAGUCCAAUUACAGAUGGAGAUUAUAGAAGAGGAUGAUGUCUUUUCUCCAACAUCUUUCUAGACUGAUAAAAGAUCUAGACAGGCUUGAACAAAAGUUAACAGAGGGGCUUAUAUAGAGAAUGGUGAGCAGCUACACAUAAAAGAAGAACAUGGAGAAUCUGCCCAGAGGUGUUAACCAGCAAUGCUAUACAACUAAAUUGAUGCAGGCUGAAACAAUAAUGCAGCUGCUGCAGAUGAAGAAUCCGUCCGUCUAGCACUGAAGGAGACGCGGAAAAUCGGGAAAAGAUGUUCUUUGCCCGAGGAAGCAUUUGAUUAAUUUAAAGAUAUUGUGUUUCUUUGUAUGUUAUAGAAAAACGUUGCUUUUUUGCAUACACUCGUGUAAAUAUGCAUCUUAUGAAUGUUUUCCUUUGUCUAAUUUUAAUAAAUUUUACGCAAUCAACUGCCUGUUUUAUUGAAAAUACUGUUUUAAUUGUUGU